UACGUAGGUGGCAAGCGAUACUCGGAAUCACUAGGCGUAAAGCGCAGGUAGGCGGUUUGGUAAGUCUUUUGUGAAAGCUCCCGGCUCAACUGGGAGAGGUCAAGGGAAACUACCGGACUAGAGUGUGGUAGGGGAUACUGGAAUUCCUGGUGUAGCGGUGAAAUGCGCAGAUAUCAGGAGGAACACCGAUGGCGAAGGCAGGUCUCUGGGCCACUACUGACGCUGAGAAGCGAAAGCAUGGGGAGCGAACAGG
rnacentral:rRNA from 1 species